CCGGCGCCCGGCAGUCGUGCCACAGGCGAGCAGGGCCCCGGCGGCCGCCCCUGCCCCCCAGUAACGCCUCGGCGCCCUUCGGGCUCGGCCUCCGGCGGGCCUGGCCGUUACAAAAACAAUAAUAAUAAAUAAAACACCUCGAGCUCCAAACCAGCUCGGGAAGCCAAAAGGCCCGCCCGGAGGCCAGCCCGGCGCGCCCGCACCCCGACCCGCGCGCGCGAGGCCCGGCCGCCGGGUCUCCCGGCCGCCGGCCCGCGCCCCGCGCCGCAUGGAGCCCGGCGCCCGCAUUAGGAGCCCCGCGCUCGGCGCCGGCCGCGCCAUGGGGGAGGGGAGGGGCGGGCCGCGCGAGACCCGGGAAACAUGGCUGCUUGUCCUAUUUCGGCGUCGCGGCGUGGCCACCAGCCCCCGGAUCAGAGUUGGGAGAGGCUCCGAAGAGGCUCCCGCGCCGGCGGAAUUCAAUCAAUAAACCCCGAACCCACGGCCGCGCGUUUUAGGACUUUGAAGGCUCAACCAGCUCCGCUCGGUUCUCGAGCCCCCAGCACCCGCGGCGCACACUAACCUGAUCACCGUGGAGGCGGGAUUGGCAGCCCGGAAGAGUGGCAGCAGCCUUAGCCAAUCGCCGCCGAGGGUCUCCGGGCAACAGCGAAUGGUGGCGGAGGCGGGGGGGGAAGGGGCCAAUGGGCGGGCUGCGCAGCCGGCCAGGGAGGCUCAGCCAUUUGGUUGUGGUGCCGGAGACGGACCCCUUUAGAUUUCGGGGCGGCUGAGGAGCGCGGCGGCAGCUCGGCGGCUGAGCGAGGGGGGUGGGCGGAAUGUAGGGGGAAGGGAAGGCGACUGUGCCUGGAGGGCCGAGCCGCCCGGCCUCGCCAGCCCGCCGCCGCCUCAGCGUUUGGCCGGGGGCGGGGCCGCAGGUGCGUUAUACGAAAGGGAGGGGCGCGGCCGGAGGGGCCGGGGGUCGGGGUCCUCGCCGGGCCAUGGGCUUCGUGGGGUUGCCCCGGGCCUGACCGCGCCGCACGACCGGGUUGUGGAAAGAGGCAGACGGCGAGAGGUCUGGGGGCCGCGGACUGCCGGGCGGGUGGAUGAAAGGCCUGGAAAGAGGGGAGGGGUCAAGGGUGCGGUGGGAGGAGGGGCUGGUCAUUUUCUGGGUCCAGCGGGCAGAGCUAGUGGAGCGUGGCUGCUGCCCCCCAUCUCCUCUGCGGGUUCCCACCCCCGGGCUGCGGCUCACAGCCCGCGCGCCCUUUCGCCUCCCGCCUCGUCGUAGUCCAGCCGUGGCCAUCGCAGCCCCUUGAAUACAUAAGUAAAUAAAAAGCAAGAUGCGUCCACUUCUGGAUGACUUACCUUGCGGUCUCGACUCUCCCCAGGGAGAGGCAUUUCAGUUUGCAUGUCAGCUUGGAAGGAGUGAUCACCAAGAGGCACCCGGGGUUUUGUUUAAUCAAUAAAUGAGUGAAGACCAUGGA